rnacentral:rRNA from 1 species
AUUGAACGCUGGCGGAAUGCUUUACACAUGCAAGUCGAGCGGCAGCGCGGGGCAACCUGGCGGCGAGCGGCGAACGGGUGAGUAAUGCAUCGGAACAUGUCCAUGUCGUGGGGGAUAGCCCGGCGAAAGCCGGAUUAAUACCGCAUACGCCCGAGAGGGGAAAGUGGGGGACCGCAAGGCCUCACGCGAUUGGGUUGGCCGAUGUCCGAUUAGCUUGUUGGUGAGGUAAAGGCUUACCAAGGCGAUGAUCGGUAGCUGGUCUGAGAGGAUGAUCAGCCACACUGGGACUGAGACACGGCCCAGACGCCUACGGGAGGCAGCAGUGGGGAAUUUUGGACAAUGGGGGCAACCCUGAUCCAGCCAUUCCGCGUGAGUGAAGAAGGCCUUCGGGUUGUAAAGCUCUUUUGUCCGGAGCGAAACGGUGGCGGUGAAUAUCCGCCACUACUGACGGUACCGGAAGAAUAAGCACCGGCUAACUACGUGCCAGCCGCCGCAGUAAUAC